ACCCCGGGAGGGGAGUGAAAGAGAACCUGAAACCCUAUGUUUACAAGCAGAUAGAGCGAUUUAAGGCGCGAUAUCGUACUUUUUGUAGAACGGUCCAGCGAGUUAUUGUAUAUGGCAAGGUUAAGUACUAAGUAAGGUACGGAGCCGAAGUGAAAGCGAGCCUGAACAGGGCGAAUUAAGUCAUAUGUAAUAGACCCGAAACCGGGUGACCUAUCCAUGGUCAGGAUGAAGCUAGAGUAAAAUCUAGUGGAGGUCCGAACUCAUAAGCGUUAAAAAGCUUCGGGAUGAACUGUGGAUAGCGGAGAAAUUCCAAUCGAACUCGGAGAUAGCUGGUUCUCCUCGAAAUAGCUUUAGGGCUAGCCUUGUGUAGUAGUAUAUGGGGGUAGAGCACUGACUGAGGUAGGGGCCUAACCAGGUUACCAAACUCUAUCAAACUCCGAAUACCGUAUAUGUAAGCACAGGAGUCAGACUGCGGGAGCUAAGUUCCGUGGUCAAAAGGGAAAGAGCCCAGAUCGUCAAUUAAGGUCCCAAAGAUAUAGCUAAGUGGCAAACGAUGUGAUUUUGCGUAAACAACCAGGAUGUUGGCUUAGAAGCAGCCAUACAUUUAAAGAGUGCGUAAUAGCUCACUGGUCGAGUGAAGUUGCGCGGAAAAUUACCGGGGCUAAGCUAUACACCGAAAUUGCGGAUUUACACUUGAAAGAUAGUGUAAGUGGUAGAGGAGCAUUCUGUAGUAGGGAGAAGCAAAAGCGAGAGCAUUUGUGGACGAGGCAGAAGAGAGAAUGCUGGAAUAAGUAGCGAGAGCAAGGUGAGAAUCCUUGCCGUCGAAAGUCUAAGGUUUCCUGGGGAAGGUUCGUCCGCCCAGGGUAAGUCGGGACCUAAGGUGAGGCUGAAAAGCGUAGCCGAUGGAUAGCAGGUUGAGAUUCCUGCACUAUAGAUAUACUUAAAAGAUGCAAGGGACGCAGGAGUGGAAGAUAAGCGAGGAAGAGGAAAGACUCGUAUCGCAAGAUAUAGUGAAAAUAAAGUAACGAAUUAUCAAGAAGCACACUGACGAGAAAAGCUUGUAGAUAUUGUAUAUAAAUACCCGUACCGCAAACCGACACAGGUAGAUGAGGAGAGGAUCCUAAGACGAGCGGGAGAAGCAUUGUUAAGGAACUCGGCAAAUUGACCCCGUAACUUAGGGAGAAGGGGUGCCAAGGUAGAACUUGGCCGCAGUGAAGAGGUUCAAGCAACUGUUUAACAAAAACACAGGUUUCUGCUAAAUCGAAAGAUGAAGUAUAGGAGCUGACGCCUGCCCAGUGCUGGAAGGUCAAAGGGAAGUGUUAGUAAAAACUUACGAAGCACAGAACUCAAGCCCCAGUGAACGGCGGCCGUAACUAUAACGGUCCUAAGGUAGCGAAAUUCCUUGUCAGGUAAG
rnacentral:rRNA from 1 species